rnacentral:rRNA from 1 species
UACGGGGGGAGCAAGCGUUGUUCGGAUUUACUGGGCGUAAAGGGCGCGUAGGCGGCCUCCGCAAGUCAAUUGUGAAAUCUCCGAGCUUAACUCGGAAAGGUCAACUGAUACUGCGGGGCUAGAGUGCGGAAGGGGCAACUGGAAUUCUUGGUGUAGCAGUGAAAUGCGUAGAGAUCGAGAGGAACACUAGUGGCGAAGGCUGGGCUCUGGACAAUAUCUGACGCUGAGGCACGAAGGUCAGGGGAGCAAACGGG